UUCGAUUAUGAUUCGACGUGAAAGGUACUCAUCACUGGGUUUGGUUUUGGGGAGACACAAAUGGGUGUUUACAGUCGCGUGUAUCUGAAAAGGAACCAAAAGCUCCAGCCAAGAUUAUUGAUGAUGCUGAAGAUAGAAGACUCAAAAGGAACAACCUUACUGACUGUUGUGGUACCAAGGGUACUAUAAAGAAGGACAAGGAAGCAAUGCGCUUAAGUCAAAAGGUGGAUUCUGAUGCCAUGCCAGAGAUAAGCCAUGAGCCAUAAGCCAUAUCUAAGAGGUAACUCCUUUAGACAAGACAGCAAUUGCAAGUUCCAGUUUGGACACUUGCUACAAUGUUCCCCCACAUGAUCUCUCUGCUACGGCACCAGAGAAGGCUUAUCUGCUUGAUAAAAUUAUUCUCAAAGGAGAAUGAAAUUACUUGACAGACAUUUUGGAGCUGUUGCAACCUAGGUAGGAGAUAAAACUAGAUGUUUUUCCAGGUUUCGUGUGCAAUCGAUGUUACAAAGUGGAAUUAAAAAGGAUUAAGCAUUGAAAAGGUUUGCUGGCAUCUUGUCAUAUAUUUCUCAACUCAUAAACUUCAAGAAUCGGUAUUCUGCUGGUGGCAGCGGCAAUCUUCCAAGAAUCAAAAGUAUCUCUCAAGAAUCCUGUUACCGAUGUUCAACAAAAUGUUUGUCGAUUCAGAUAAAAACAGGAUCGCGAUUCGCGGAUGACAAAAUAGGCUCGUUCAUCAGCUAUGUGCUGGUUCUCACCUUAUUGGUCAUGAGCUUCAGACUGGUUAUACUGAUAUUGCCAAGGAUCUGAAGAUGUCUGCUUUGAGUCAGACCUUAUUUCGAGAAUUUGGGCUGUAAGUUUGCAAGAAGAAAUACAGUGAUCGUUGCUAUCCUUCCUAUUCCUUUCAAGUUCUCAACACCGAGGAAGAGGAGAAUAGGGUAGAUGUAAAUAUUGCUUCUGCUAGACUGCUAUGAAUGAAAGAUAAAAGUUAUUGACUUGUUGCAAUGUUGAAAAUUGUAGGAUUGUACUGAUUAUCAAAAUUAUGAUGACUUUUAUUGAUUUUAUAUUUCUGAUUAAGUGUAUAGAUAUACAUAAUCAAACAUUUUAUGUGUUAAAUUUUAUUGUUUUACUGAUUUGAAAUGGAAAAAGGAGCUUUACUUUGUUU